rnacentral:rRNA from 1 species
GAAACAUCUUCGGGUUGUGAGGUUAAGCGACUAAGCGUACACGGUGGAUGCCCUGGCAGUCAGAGGCGAUGAAGGACGUGCUAAUCUGCGAUAAGCGUCGGUAAGGUGAUAUGAACCGUUAUAACCGGCGAUUUCCGAAUGGGGAAACCCAGUGUGUUUCGACACACUAUCAUUAACUGAAUCCAUAGGUUAAUGAGGCGAACCGGGGGAACUGAAACAUCUAAGUACCCCGAGGAAAAGAAAUCAACCGAGAUUCCCCCAGUAGCGGCGAGCGAACGGGGAGCAGCCCAGAGCCUGAAUCAGUGUGUGUGUUAGUGGAAGCGUCUGGAAAGGCGCGCGAUACAGGGUGACAGCCCCGUACACAAAAAUGCACAUAUUGUGAGCUCGAUGAGUAGGGCGGGACACGUGGUAUCCUGUCUGAAUAUGGGGGGACCAUCCUCCAAGGCUAAAUACUCCUGACUGACCGAUAGUGAACCAGUACCGUGAGGGAAAGGCGAAAAGAACCCCGGCGAGGGGAGUGAAAAAGAACCUGAAACCGUGUACGUACAAGCAGUGGGAGCACGCUUAGGCGUGUGACUGCGUACCUUUUGUAUAAUGGGUCAGCGACUUAUAUUCUGUAGCAAGGUUAACCGAAUAGGGGAGCCGAAGGGAAACCGAGUCUUAACUGGGCGUUAAGUUGCAGGGUAUAGACCCGAAACCCGGUGAUCUAGCCAUGGGCAGGUUGAAGGUUGGGUAACACUAACUGGAGGACCGAACCGACUAAUGUUGAAAAAUUAGCGGAUGACUUGUGGCUGGGGGUGAAAGGCCAAUCAAACCGGGAGAUAGCUGGUUCUCCCCGAAAGCUAUUUAGGUAGCGCCUCGUGAAUUCAUCUCCGGGGGUAGAGCACUGUUUCGGCAAGGGGGUCAUCCCGACUUACCAACCCGAUGCAAACUGCGAAUACCGGAGAAUGUUAUCACGGGAGACACACGGCGGGUGCUAACGUCCGUCGUGAAGAGGGAAACAACCCAGACCGCCAGCUAAGGUCCCAAAGUCAUGGUUAAGUGGGAAACGAUGUGGGAAGGCCCAGACAGCCAGGAUGUUGGCUUAGAAGCAGCCAUCAUUUAAAGAAAGCGUAAUAGCUCACUGGUCGAGUCGGCCUGCGCGGAAGAUGUAACGGGGCUAAACCAUGCACCGAAGCUGCGGCAGCGACGCUUAUGCGUUGUUGGGUAGGGGAGCGUUCUGUAAGCCUGUGAAGGUGUGCUGUGAGGCAUGCUGGAGGUAUCAGAAGUGCGAAUGCUGACAUAAGUAACGAUAAAGCGGGUGAAAAGCCCGCUCGCCGGAAGACCAAGGGUUCCUGUCCAACGUUAAUCGGGGCAGGGUGAGUCGACCCCUAAGGCGAGGCCGAAAGGCGUAGUCGAUGGGAAACAGGUUAAUAUUCCUGUACUUGGUGUUACUGCGAAGGGGGGACGGAGAAGGCUAUGUUGGCCGGGCGACGGUUGUCCCGGUUUAAGCGUGUAGGCUGGUUUUCCAGGCAAAUCCGGAAAAUCAAGGCUGAGGCGUGAUGACGAGGCACUACGGUGCUGAAGCAACAAAUGCCCUGCUUCCAGGAAAAGCCUCUAAGCAUCAGGUAACAUCAAAUCGUACCCCAAACCGACACAGGUGGUCAGGUAGAGAAUACCAAGGCGCUUGAGAGAACUCGGGUGAAGGAACUAGGCAAAAUGGUGCCGUAACUUCGGGAGAAGGCACGCUGAUAUGUAGGUGAAGUCCCUCGCGGAUGGAGCUGAAAUCAGUCGAAGAUACCAGCUGGCUGCAACUGUUUAUUAAAAACACAGCACUGUGCAAACACGAAAGUGGACGUAUACGGUGUGACGCCUGCCCGGUGCCGGAAGGUUAAUUGAUGGGGUCAGCGCAAGCGAAGCUCUUGAUCGAAGCCCCGGUAAACGGCGGCCGUAACUAUAACGGUCCUAAGGUAGCGAAAUUCCUUGUCGGGUAAGUUCCGACCUGCACGAAUGGCGUAAUGAUGGCCAGGCUGUCUCCACCCGAGACUCAGUGAAAUUGAACUCGCUGUGAAGAUGCAGUGUACCCGCGGCAAGACGGAAAGACCCCGUGAACCUUUACUAUAGCUUGACACUGAACAUUGAGCCUUGAUGUGUAGGAUAGGUGGGAGGCUUGGAAGUGUGGACGCCAGUCUGCAUGGAGCCGACCUUGAAAUACCACCCUUUAAUGUUUGAUGUUCUAACGUUGACCCGUGAUCCGGGUUGCGGACAGUGUCUGGUGGGUAGUUUGACUGGGGCGGUCUCCUCCUAAAGAGUAACGGAGGAGCACGAAGGUUGGCUAAUCCUGGUCGGACAUCAGGAGGUUAGUGCAAUGGCAUAAGCCAGCUUGACUGCGAGCGUGACGGCGCGAGCAGGUGCGAAAGCAGGUCAUAGUGAUCCGGUGGUUCUGAAUGGAAGGGCCAUCGCUCAACGGAUAAAAGGUACUCCGGGGAUAACAGGCUGAUACCGCCCAAGAGUUCAUAUCGACGGCGGUGUUUGGCACCUCGAUGUCGGCUCAUCACAUCCUGGGGCUGAAGUAGGUCCCAAGGGUAUGGCUGUUCGCCAUUUAAAGUGGUACGCGAGCUGGGUUUAGAACGUCGUGAGACAGUUCGGUCCCUAUCUGCCGUGGGCGCUGGAGAACUGAGGGGGGCUGCUCCUAGUACGAGAGGACCGGAGUGGACGCAUCACUGGUGUUCGGGUUGUCAUGCCAAUGGCACUGCCCGGUAGCUAAAUGCGGAAGAGAUAAGUGCUGAAAGCAUCUAAGCACGAAACUUGCCCCGAGAUGAGUUCUCCCUGACUCCUUGAGAGUCCUGAAGGAACGUUGAAGACGACGACGUUGAUAGGCCGGGUGUGUAAGCGCAGUGAUGCGUUGAGCUAACCGGUACUAAUGAACCGUGAGGCUUAACCUU